rnacentral:snoRNA from 1 species
AUCCCAUGAUGAGGACACUUAAGAAGUAAUUCUUUGAAUCUCUCUCAUGCCUCGUACAAUGAAUCAUCAUCCAAUUGCUGAAUUUCGCAACUUAGGGU